CAGAGGUGGCAAGCGUUGUUCGGAAUUACUGGGCGUAAAGGGCGCGUAGGCGGUCUUGUAAGUCUUGUGUGAAAUCCCUCGGCUUAACUGAGGAACUGCACGAGAUACUGCAAGACUUGAGAUCGGGAGAGGGAAGCGGAAUUCCGGGUGUAGCGGUGAAAUGCGUAGAUAUCCGGAGGAACACCGGUGGCGAAGGCGGCUUCCUGGACCGAUACUGACGCUGAGGCGCGAAAGCUAGGGGAGCAAACGGGAUUAGAUACCCCGGUAGUCCUAGCUGUAAACGAUGAGUGCUGGGUGUAGGGGGUAUUAACCCCCUGUGCCGAAGCUAACGCAUUAAGCACUCCGCCUGGGGAGUACGGUCGCAAGGCUG
rnacentral:rRNA from 1 species